AUUGAACGCUGGCGGCAGGCCUAACACAUGCAAGUCGAGCGGAUGAAGGGAGCUUGCUCCUGGAUUCAGCGGCGGACGGGUGAGUAAUGCCUAGGAAUCUGCCUGGUAGUGGGGGAUAACGUCCGGAAACGGGCGCUAAUACCGCAUACGUCCUGAGGGAGAAAGUGGGGGAUCUUCGGACCUCACGCUAUCAGAUGAGCCUAGGUCGGAUUAGCUAGUUGGUGGGGUAAAGGCCUACCAAGGCGACGAUCCGUAACUGGUCUGAGAGGAUGAUCAGUCACACUGGAACUGAGACACGGUCCAGACUCCUACGGGAGGCGGCAGUGGGGAAUAUUGGACAAUGGGCGAAAGCCUGAUCCAGCCAUGCCGCGUGUGUGAAGUAGGUCUUCGGAUUGUAAAGCACUUUAAGUUGGGAGGAAGGGCAGUAAGUUAAUACCUUGCUGUUUUGACGUUACCAACAGAAUAAGCACCGGCUAACUUCGUG
rnacentral:rRNA from 1 species